rnacentral:rRNA from 1 species
UACGUAGGGGGCAAGCGUUGUCCGGAUUUAUUGGGCGUAAAGAGCGUGUAGGCGGCUAGAUGGGUCCGUUGUGAAACUCGAGGCUCAACCUCGAGACUCGAUGGAAACCAUCUGGCGUAGAGUCCGGAAGAGGAGAGUGGAAUUCCUGGUGUAGCGGUGAAAUGCGCAGAUAUCAGGAGGAACACCGGUGGCGAAGGCGGGUCUCUGGACAGUUCCU